UUUUUUUUUUCUUCUCCUUCUUUCUUCCUCUUUUAUUCUUCUUCAUAAUCUCUCUGGAGAUUCUGAGAGACAUUUCUGAAGCCGUGAAAUUAAAAAAACAAAGUUAGGGGAAUCAAUUAUCUAGUUUGAUAAAUGAAGAAAGGGCGAUUUUUUAUGAAUCUUUGAAGAAGAAGAUGGUUUUAAUAAUGAAUCGAAAACAGAUGGUGUUAGUGAGCUUGGAACUGUGAUGGUGGCCUGGUUCAGAUUUAAACAACAGGGAAGCUGCAAAUAAAGCUGAGGUUGGUGGUGAUAUUCAGGGGGUUAAUGUUCUUGAAGAUUUGAUUAAGAUGAAUGAGUUUGUGUUGCAGUUGGGUUUGAGUUAUAGUGUUUCCGUAAGGAAUUAUGUAACGCAACUGAGGAUGAACUUUAGGUGAAUGUUAGGUGGUGGCAGGGAUUGGUGUUGGUGGUGCCAGAUGUAAUGAAGUUGUCGUGUUAGUUUUGAAGAUGCCUGCGCUUCUGUAAUUGUGAUACUGAGAUGAUAUGAAUGAUGGUUUAAUAGAAUAUGAAGAACUUAAGAUAAGGUUGAGCUACAGAGAGUGAAGCUAAGAAGAUGACAGUGCUAAGAGUAUUUCAUUUGAUUGGAAAUUGUUGGUGGUAAGAGUUUCGGGUCUUAAAUGAAUUAAAGAUAAGAAGAAGGUGGUGGUGCUGUCGUUAUAGGUUGGCGAUGGAGAUUAUAGUGUUGAGAUUGCACUUGAUAUAGGUUGGAAUUGCUGGUUGAAUGCAGUGAGAGUUAAGAAGAAUAUGUUGCUUGGAAUGAGAACCAUAAUUGCAGAUGGGCUCUCAACAAAAAGAAUUAAUCUUUACAGUUGAUGAAUGGUUUAUGUGUAACUGGGGAAGGUAAGCUACAGUUGUGAAGAAUUGAAGUUGUGUUUUAGAAGAAGAAUUGGACUCAAGACGAAGUCAGUAUUGAUGGUGGGGGUGCUCUUAUCGUAAUGGAGGUGGUAUUGUUUUAGAAUGGCGGUGUGGUGUUGAAGUCCAUGGGAUUUGAAUGAAUGUUCUUCUAUAGUUGAAUUGACAGAUGCUAUAAUGGUAGAUUAAGCUUGUAUUUGAGUUAUACGGUUUGGGGUAUUUGUUUUUGUAUUGCUUCAUUGUUUGUGAAAUAGAAGUUUGGCCUUGAGCCUUUCUGUUCUGUCAGAUUAUUUAGAGAAUUGUAUGGGAUUAUGAUAUGAGCCUUUUGGUUAAUUUCUUA